AGGUCCCGCCUGCCCUGUGACGAAAGUUUAACGGCCGCGGUAUUUUAACCGUGCGAAGGUAGCGUAAUCACUUGUCUUUUAAAUGAAGACCUGUAUGAAUGGCAUAACGAGGGCCACGCUGUCUCCUUUAUCUAGUCAAUGAAAUUGAUCUGCCCGUGCAGAAGCGGGCAUACCCCCAUAAGACGAGAAGACCCUAUGGAGCUUUAGACACUAAGGCAGGCCGAGUUAAGAACCCUGAAUCAUCAGGAACGAACCCAGCGGCCCUACUGCUUAACUGUCUUCGGUUGGGGCGACCGCGGAGAAAAACAAAACCUCCGCACGGUAUGGAAUAAGAACCCUGAGAUGAGGCUUUCAGGCCUAAUCACCAGAAAAUCUGACCACAAGGACCCGGCAACGCCGAUCAACGGACCCAGUUACCCUAGGGAUAACAGCGCAAUCCCCUUUUAGAGCUCACAUCGACAAGGGGGUUUACGACCUCGAUGUUGGAUCAGGACUUCCUAAUGGUGCAGCCGCUAUUAAGGGUUCGUUUGUUCAACGAUUAAAGUCCU
rnacentral:rRNA from 1 species